AAUUUUGGACAAUGGGGGCAACCCCGACCCAGCCAUCCCGCGUGUGCGAUGAAGGCCUUCGGGUUGUAAAGCACUUUUGGUGGGGAAGAAAAGGCUCUGGCUAAUAUAUGGAACUGCUGACUGUACCUGCAGAAUAAGCACCGGCUGACUACGUGCCAGCAGCCGCGGUAAUACGUAGGGUGCAAGCGUUAAUCGGAAUUACUGGGCGUAAAGCGUGCGCAGGCGGUUCGGCAAGAAGGAUGUGAAAUCCCGGGGCUUAACCACGGAACUGCAUUCUUAACUGCCGGGCUAGAGUAUGUCAGAGGGGGGUAGAAUUCCACGUGUAGCAGUGAAAUGCGUAGAGAUGUGGAGGAAUACCGAUGGCGAAGGCAGCCCCCUGGGAUAAUACUGACGCUCAGACACGAAAGCGUGGGGAGCAAACAG
rnacentral:rRNA from 1 species